UUUCCGUAGGUGAACCUGCGGAAGGAUCAUUAACGAAUAACUAUGGUGUCUUGGUUGUAGCUGGCUCCUCGGAGCAAUGUGCACGCCCGCCAUUUUUAUCUUUCCACCUGUGCACCGACUGUAGGUCUGGAUGACUCUCACACUCCGGUGCGGAUGCGAGGAUUGCUCUCGGGCUCUCCUCGAAUUUCCAGGCUCUACGUCUUUUUACACACCCCAAACGUAUGAUACAGAAUGUAGUCAAUGGGCUUGAUCGCCUAUAAAACACUAUACAACUUUCAGCAACGGAUCUCUUGGCUCUC
rnacentral:misc_RNA from 1 species